rnacentral:misc_RNA from 1 species
AAGUCGUAACAAGGUUUCCGUAGGUGAACCUGCGGAAGGAUCAUUAAUACGCUUUUGUUUGUAACAAAACAAAACGUUUUAAACUCCAAAAGAAAUAGUGGAAAUAUAACUUCCGGAUGCGAAUGUUGGGAACUGAGUAAAAUCGGUUCUUUGAAAAAGGGACUUCAAGCAAUUGACACUUCAGAGUAGAGCAGUGAGGUGAAAUUCUCGUUUUCGAGCGAGAGUUUGGUUCUGAAAAACAUUUGUAUCCGGUUAUCAUAAUCUGUUCUACAACACAAAAUAUCAAACAAUAAACCCCAUGUACAACAACUUGAACUAAACAUUUUUUUGUUGUCUGCUCGCCCUUGUGUGAGAAGAUGCUACAAAGAAAAAACCUGAACUUAAGAACAACUCUUAACAACGGAUAUCUUGGUUCUG